rnacentral:rRNA from 1 species
CCUACGGGAGGCAGCAGUGAGGAAUAUUGGUCAAUGGUCGGGAGACUGAACCAGCCAAGCCGCGUGAGGGAUGAAGGUACAGAGUAUCGUAAACCUCUUUUGUCAGGGAACAAAGGCGGGGACGCGUCCCCGGAUGAGUGUACCUGAAGAAAAAGCAUCGGCUAACUCCGUGCCAGCAGCCGCGGUAAUACGGAGGAUGCGAGCGUUAUCCGGAUUUAGUGGGUUUAAAGGGUGCGCCGGCGGUCUGUUAAGUCAGCGGUCAAAGCCCGGGGCUCAACCCCGGCCCACCGUUGAAACUGGCAGUCUCGAGUUGGAGAGAAGUAUGCGGAAUGCGCGGUGUAGCGGGGAAAUGCAUAGAUAUCGCGCAGAACUCCGAUUGCGAAGGCAGCAUGCCGGCUCCACACUGACGCUGAGGCACGAAAGCGUGGGUAUCGAACAGGAUUAGAUACCCCUGUAGUC